UUCUCAGACUAGACGAUAUUGGAAUUAUUAGUCCGAUCACCGAAGUUAAACAACGUCGAGCCCGGUUAGUACUUGGGUGGGUGACCGCCUGGGAAUACCGGGUGUUGUAGACA
rnacentral:rRNA from 1 species